rnacentral:rRNA from 1 species
AUUGAACGCUGGCGGCAGGCCUAACACAUGCAAGUCGAACGAGUGGCGGACGGGUGAGUAAUGUCUGGGAAACUGCCCGAUGGAGGGGGAUAACUACUGGAAACAGUAGCUAAUACAGCAUACCAUCGGAGGGGCCCAGAUGGGAUUAGCUAGUAGGUGGGGUAACGGCUCACCGAGGCGCCGAUCCCGAGCUGGUCUGAGAGGAUGACCAGCCAACCUGGAACUGAGACCCGGCCCAGACUCCUACGGGAGGCAGACGUGGGGAAUAUUGCACAAUGGGCGCAAGCCUGCUGCACCCAUGCCGCUUGUAUUAAGAGGGCCUUCGGGUUGUAAAGUACUUUCAUCGAGGAGGCGUUACUCGCAGAAGAAGCACCGGCUAACUCCGUGCCAGCAGCCGCGGUAAUAC